UUAACCUGACAGUAAUAACUCUGUCAUAUUGUAUUUAAGCAGAGGCAUUUUAUUCUAGAUUGGUAGUAAAUGUAUACACAGAGGUGGAGAAUCACUUUCCUUUUUGUGACAAGAAAACAAAU